rnacentral:rRNA from 1 species
AGAGUUUGAUCAUGGCUCAGGAUGAACGCUAGCGGCAGGCUUAACACAUGCAAGUCGAGGGGUAUCACGCUUUCGGGCGUGAGAGACCGGCGCACGGGUGCGUAACGCGUAUAGAACCUACCUUUUACAGAGGGAUAGCCCAGAGAAAUUUGGAUUAAUACCUCAUAAUAAGUUUUACCGGCAUCGGUAGAACUUUAAAGCUCCGGCGGUAAGAGAUGGGCAUGCGUGCCAUUAGCUAGUUGGUGAGGUAACGGCUCACCAAGGCAACGAUGGCUAGGGGUCCUGAGAGGAUUAUCCCCCACACUGGUACUGAGACACGGUCCAGACUCCUACGGGAGGCAGCAGUGGGGAAUUUUGCGCAAUGGGCGAAAGCCUGACGCAGCAACGCCGCGUGAGUGAUGAAGGCUUUCGGUCGUAAAGCUCUGUCGAAGGGGAAGAAGUGUAUUGUGGCUAAUAUCCACGAUACUUGACGGUACCCCUAAAGGAAGCACCGGCUAACUCCGUGCCAGCAG